CAAUAGCGUAUAUUUAAGUUGUUGCAGUUAAAAAGCGCGUAGUCGGAUUUUGGCUGAGAACGAUCGGUCCGCCGUUAGGUGUGCACUGAUUGGUCUCAGCUUCCUGGUGAGGAGGUGUGCUUCACGGCCACUUAGUCACCGUGGUUACUUUGAAAAAAUUAGAGUGUUCAAAGCGGGCUUACGCUUGAAUAUAUUAGCAUGGAAUAACACCAUAGGACUCCUGUCCUAUUUCGUUGGUCACGGGACGGGAGUAAUGAUUAAGAGGAACAGUUGGGGGCAUUCGUAUUUCAUUGUCAGAGGUGAAAUUCUUGGAUUUAUGAAAGACGAACUUCUGCGAAAGCAUUUGCCAAGGAUGUUUUCAUUGA
rnacentral:rRNA from 1 species